GACGAACGCUGGCGGCGUGCUUAACACAUGCAAGUCGAACGGAAAGGCCCUGCUUUUGUGGGGUGCUCGAGUGGCGAACGGGUGAGUAACACGUGAGUAACCUUCCCUUGACUUUGGGAUAACUUCAGGAAACUGGGGCUAAUACCGGAUAGGAGCUCCUGCUGCAUGGUGGGGGUUGGAAAUUUUCGGCGGUUGGGGAUGGACUCGCGGCUUAUCAGCUUGUUGGUGGGGUAGUGGCUUACCAAGGCUUUGACGGGUAGCCGGCCUGAGAGGGUGACCGGCCACAUUGGGACUGAGAUACGGCCCAGACUCCUACGGGAGGCAGCAGUGGGGAAUAUUGCACAAUGGGCGGAAGCCUGAUGCAGCAACGCCGCGUGCGGGAUGACGGCCUUCGGGUUGUAAACCGCUUUCGCCUGUGACGAAGCGUGAGUGACGGUAAUGGGUAAAGAAGCACCGGCUAACUACGUG
rnacentral:rRNA from 1 species